AUGCAAUACUUUCACCAUUGAACUUCUUCCUUUAGACUGAGCUAUUUACCUUUUGUUUGUUACUCCUGCACCAUACAGUCUCAAGAAGUAGCAAAAGCUUUUGGAGCAGUCUGCACACCAGAGUUUUUCUUGUUCAAAAAGGAUGGACGAAGGCCUUUCGAACUUUUCUACCAUGGACAGUUCGAUGAUUCAAGACCCAGUAACAAUGUGCCAGUAACAGGAAGGGAUCUAAGCCGCGCAAUUGACUGCGCACUCAGUGGCCAAGAAUUGCCUUUUGUACAAAAACCUAGUGUUGGCUGCAGCAUCAAAUGGCACCCAUGAAAAGCUCUAAUGUUGGUGUGCGUUGAGAAAUAUUCAGAUUUUUCACUUCUCAGAGCAAAGAUGUGGAACAUUCGAUUGAGCGCAGGUGCAUAGGAGCAGAUUUUUCAAGUCAGUAUCGAUUGCCUUGGGAACAGAAUUGUGUUGGGAGAAAUAUGUGAAUUUUGCAUCGUAAAGCAGAGCUGUCAGAGCAAAAAUAUAGCGCUAGUGCAGAGAAAGGCCCAUGUAGAGAAGUAUAUAUAUGUACUAAACACAAGUGCUUUACAUGUACUCAUGUGUAGGAGGUCGUUUUUUAUGUGGUAUAAUCCCAAAACUGACGUUACCCAUCGUUUGUACAAGUGCAUAUUAUCUGUCAUCAAAGCAGGGACAAAAUCGCUCGCUUAAUGGAUGCAAGUUCAUUAUGGUUUGGUA